GACGAACGCUGGCGGCGUGCUUAACACAUGCAAGUCGAACGGAAAGGCCCUGCUUUUGUGGGGUGCUCGAGUGGCGAACGGGUGAGUAACACGUGAGUAACCUGCCCUUGACUUUGGGAUAACUUCAGGAAACUGGGGCUAAUACCGGAUAGGAGCUCCUGCUGCAUGGUGGGGGUUGGAAAGUUUCGGCGGUUGGGGAUGGACUCGCGGCUUAUCAGCUUGUUGGUGGGGUAGUGGCUUACCAAGGCUUUGACGGGUAGCCGGCCUGAGAGGGUGACCGGCCACAUUGGGACUGAGAUACGGCCCAGACUCCUACGGGAGGCAGCAGUGGGGAAUAUUGCACAAUGGGCGGAAGCCUGAUGCAGCAACGCCGCGUGCGGGAUGACGGCCUUCGGGUUGUAAACCGCUUUCGCCUGUGACGAAGCGUGAGUGACGGUAAUGGGUAAAGAAGCACCGGCUAACUACGUGCCAGCAGCCGCGGUGAUACGUAGGGUGCGAGCGUUGUCCGGAUUUAUUGGGCGUAAAGGGCUCGUAGGUGGUUGAUCGCGUCGGAAGUGUAAUCUUGGGGCUUAACCCUGAGCGUGCUUUCGAUACGGGUUGACUUGAGGAAGGUAGGGGAGAAUGGAAUUCCUGGUGGAGCGGUGGAAUGCGCAGAUAUCAGGAGGAACACCAGUGGCGAAGGCGGUUCUCUGGGCCUUUCCUGACGCUGAGGAGCGAAAGCGUGGGGAGCGAACAGGCUUAGAUACCCUGGUAGUCCACGCUGUAAACGGUGGGUACUAGGUGUGGGGUCCAUUCCACGGGUUCCGUGCCGUAGCUAACGCUUUAAGUACCCCGCCUGGGGAGUACGGCCGCAAGGCUAAAACUCAAAGGAAUUGACGGGGCCCCGCACAAGCGGCGGAGCAUGCGGAUUAAUUCGAUGCAACGCGUAGAACCUUACCUGGGUUUGACAUGGAUCGGGAGUGCUCAGAGAUGGGUGUGCCUCUUUUGGGGUCGGUUCACAGGUGGUGCAUGCCUGUCGUCAGCUCGUGUCGUGAGAUGUUGGGUUAAGUCCCGCAACGAGCGCAACCCUUGUUCACUGUUGCCAGCACGUUAUGGUGGGGACUCAGUGGAGACCGCCGGGGUCAACUCGGAGGAAGGUGGGGAUGACGUCAAGUCAUCAUGCCCCUUAUGUCCAGGGCUUCACGCAUGCUACAAUGGCUGGUACAGAGAGUGGCGAGCCUGUGAGGGUGAGCGAAUCUCGGAAAGCCGGUCUCAGUUCGGAUUGGGGUCUGCAACACGACCUCAUGAAGUCGGAGUCGCUAGUAAUCGCAGAUCAGCAACGCUGCGGUGAAUACGUUCCCGGGGCU
rnacentral:rRNA from 1 species